GACGAACGCUGGCGGCGUGCUUAACACAUGCAAGUCGAACGGUGAAGCGAGUGCUUGCACUCGUGGAUCAGUGGCGAACGGGUGAGUAACACGUGAGUAACCUGCCCAUCACUCUGGGAUAAGCACUGGAAACGGUGUCUAAUACUGGAUACGACCAACCCUUGCAUGGGGUGUUGGUGGAAAGAUUUAUCGGUGAUGGAUGGACUCGCGGCCUAUCAGCUUGUUGGCGGGGUAAUGGCCCACCAAGGCGACGACGGGUAGCCGGCCUGAGAGGGUGACCGGCCACACGGGGACUGAGACACGGCCCAGACUCCUACGGGAGGCAGCGGUGGGGAAUAUUGCACAAUGGGCGAAAGCCUGAUGCAGCGACGCCGCGUGAGGGAUGACGGCCUUCGGGUUGUAAACCUCUUUCAGCAGGGAAGAAGCGAAAGUGACGGUACCUGCAGAAGAAGCACCGGCUAACUACGUG
rnacentral:rRNA from 1 species